UUUUCAUUUUCUGGGUGUUGUUCACAAGGUCCUAGGACAUUGCAGGAACAUGAUGAUUGGAGCUCGCAAGAUUCAUGAUUAAUGGCUCUGCGUAAUCAGGCCUUGCAGCACCCUGAUUGCUCCUAUCUGAU
ensembl:snoRNA U8 U8 small nucleolar RNA